GUCCACAAUGGCACAAUGGUUAGUGCGCCUUCUCUCAGUAGUAUCGGCCAAUAUUUGAGAUUAAUGCGGGAGGUCCUCGUUCGAUUCGGGGUUGGGUCA